rnacentral:rRNA from 1 species
UACGAAGGGUGCAAACGUUGCUCGGAAUUAUUGGGCGUAAAGCGCACGUAGGCGGCUUGGCAAGUCGGAUGUGAAAUCCCUCGGCUCAACCAAGGAAGUGCAUCCGAAACUGCUGAGCUUGAGUACUUAAGAGGAUCGCGGAAUUCCCGGUGUAGAGGUGAAAUUCGUAGAUAUCGGGAGGAACACCGAUGGCGAAGGCAGGUCUCUGGGCCACUACUGACGCUGAGAAGCGAAAGCAUGGGGAGCGAACAGG